UAGGGAAUCUUCCACAAUGGACGCAAGUCUGAUGGAGCAACGCCGCGUGAGUGAAGAAGGUUUUCGGACCGUAAAGCUCUGUUGUUGGUGAAGAAGGAUAGAGGUAGUAACUGGCCUUUAUUUGACGGUAAUCAACCAGAAAGUCACGCUAACUACGUGCCAGCAGCCGCGGUAAUACGUAGGUGGCAAGCGUUGUCCGGAUUUAUUGGGCGUAAAGCGAGNGCAGGCGGAAGAAUAAGUCUGAUGUGAAAGCCCUCGGCUUAACCGAGGAAUUGCAUCGGAAACUGUUUUCUUGAGUGCAGAAGAGGAGAGUAGAACUCCAUGUGUAGCGGUGGAAUGCGUAGAUAUAUGGAAGAAUACCAGUGGCGAAGGCGGCUCUCUGGUCUGCAACUGACGCUGAGGCUCGAAAAGCAUGGGUAGCGAACAGGAUUAGAUACCCUGGUAGUCCAUGCCGUAAACGAUGAGUGCUAAGUGUUGGGAGGCUUCCGCCUCUCAGUGCUGCAGCUAACGCAUUAAGCACUCCGCCUGGGGGAGUACGACCGC
rnacentral:rRNA from 1 species